ensembl:lncRNA
AAAAAGCAUUUAUAAAAGAUCAGAUGAGUCAGGAAUAUGAGAAUAUCUCCGUCUGAGCCUCCUGGUCGUAGUUAUGUCUCUAAAAUCAAUGUAGUCUGCUUCAUAUUGGACGUAUUUAUUCAAAGCCACUCGCUCGGUGUCGGCUUGAGCUUUCAAACAACAAUAUUUUCAGCGUCUGCGUCGUUCCUGCUUCGUAUCCAAAUGAAUUCCUGAAACGAGGGGUCGAUACAAAAGGCCGGCGUGCAGCCAGACAGCAGUCUUCCCUUCUCUGACGGGGUUUCAAGACGGAGCGCUUUCCUUCAAACUGCGUCAGGAGAGCUUCAUCCGUCAAACUGAGUCUGGCGAAACUGGCCGAAGCUCCGGAGGAUUCGUCCUCCAAACAUCUGGACCGUAGAGCUGCUAGCCUGGAGAGACAAUCGUCCACGGAGGGCCAGCCUCCACCCAAACCCCCCCACACCUACUACAACAGACACUCCUACCCUGAGGGGGGGGAGGGGCUCCACUCAGGUUUCCAGAGCAACCACCAGAACCAGCCUGCAUCAGGACCUCCAUCAGAACCUUCAUCUGGACCUCCAUCAGAACCUCCUCCCCAGAACCAACCCACCAUGACCCCCCAGCCACCAGAACACUCCAUCAAACCCAGGAUGAGCGUCUUCAGGAAGUUCUUCACCAAGAAGUAGAUUAGCACUCAGCAUCCUUCACAAUAAAAGUCCAAUAAUCACAUUUUAGAAAUAAAGUGCUUCAAACAGAAAGCCUUAAAGAGAAAUGAGACGAGAGAAGAGUUUGGAUAAAAACUCACGUUUCAGUCUUUUUAUCUUCUGGUUCCUUUUUAAUCUGAAGUUCUGCAGCUCUGAGGAACAAGAACAUCAUGAAGAACGAGAGAGAAGUCAGGAAAACAUUAAAAUUCUUCUCCAGAUAUUACAGAUAUUUAACUUUUUACAGCUUCUACAGGAGAUAAAAGGUUUGAAAUAAUCAGAGAUAAAGAAAUAUUUCUGAAAUAAAAUAGCAGAAAUAAAGACAAAUGAUUCAUAUUCUGAGAUAAAUGUUGAAUUUAUUCAAUUAUAAUUUAAAGACAGAAAAACAAUAGAAAACUAAUCACAUUUAUAUUUUUGUUAAUUAAAUCUUUACUUGUUGCCAAAGUUCUGUCUCAUUAUUCGCCCCGAUUUGUUUCAUGUAUUUUUUAGUCUUUUAAAAUCCAGACAUGAUUUGAUUAAAUAUUUUUUUCAGUUUGUUGAAUUUUCCCCACAUUCGGUGUAAUUAAAGGAAAAGUUGAAAAUCUGAUGUUUGUUUCUGUUUUUAAACUGUGUAGCUGAUAAAUGUUGUUAAUUUUGGAGAUUUUCUUUAAAAGAGAAACCAAAUAAUUAAAAUUAAAAGUGGAAAUCUGGAUAAAAAUAUCAAAAUAAUAAGACCUCCAGGUCAGAAUCAGGACAUAAAAAUCAUAAAUAAUUAUAGAAAAUCUGAAUUUUGUCUUCAAACUUGAAAAUAAAAGGUUUGCAAAUAUGAGAUAAAGAAAUGAUGUUUUUUUU